CUUGACGAUCAUAGAGCGUUGGAACCACCUGAUCCCUUCCCGAACUCAGAAGUGAAACGACGCAUCGCCGAUGGUAGGACGCAUCGCCGAUGGUAG
rnacentral:rRNA from 1 species